GGGCCUGUGGCUUAGUGGUAGGGCGCCCGCCUGAUGCGUGGGAGGUCGUAGGUUCAAUUCCUACCAGGCCCA
rnacentral:tRNA from 1 species